rnacentral:rRNA from 1 species
AUACGGAGGGUGCAAGCGUUAAUCGGAAUUACUGGGCGUAAAGCGUACGUAGGCGGCUUGGUCAGUCGGAUGUGAAAGCCCCGGGCUUAACCUGGGAAUUGCACUCGAUACUGCCAGACUAGAGUUUAGUAGAGGAAUGCGGAAUUCCGGGUGUAGCGGUGAAAUGCGUAGAUAUCCGGAGGAACAUCAGUGGCGAAGGCGACUUGCUGGACUAAUACUGACGCUGAGGAGCGAAAGCGUGGGGAGCAAACAGGAUUAGAUACCCCGGUAGUCC